AAGCGGAGGAAAAGAAACCAACAGGGAUUGCCUCAGUAACGGCGAGUGAAGCGGCAACAGCUCAAAUUUGAAAUCUGGCCCUCUCAGGGCCCGAGUUGUAAUUUGUAGAAGAUGCUUCGGGUGCGGUCCCGGUCUAAGUUCCUUGGAAGAGGACGUCACAGAGGGUGAGAAUCCCGUAUGUGACCGGGUGCCCGCGCCCAUGUGAAGCUCUUUCGACGAGUCGAGUUGUUUGGGAAUGCAGCUCUAAAUGGGUGGUAUAUUUCAUCUAAAGCUAAAUAUUGGCCAGAGACCGAUAGCGCACAAGUAGAGUGAUCGAAAGAUGAAAAGCACUUUGGAAAGAGAGUUAAACAGUACGUGAAAUUGUUGAAAGGGAAGCGCUUGCAAUCAGACUUGCGCGCCGUUGAUCACCCCAGGUUCUCCUGGGUGCACUCGGCGGCGCUCAGGCCAGCAUCGGUUCCGGUGGUGGGAUAAAGGCCUUGGGAAUGUAGCUCCUUUCGGGGAGUGUUAUAGCCCUCGGUGCAAUGCCGCCUACUGGGACCGAGGACCGCGCUCCGGCUAGGAUGCUGGCGUAAUGGUUGUAAGCGACCCGUC
rnacentral:rRNA from 1 species